UCUGUUGAUGUGCUCGAAUUUACAGUGUUUCAAUAUUUCUCGUACCUGUGAGUGAAGAAUAUAGUUAACGAUUUACCAACAGAGGUAAUAUUUUUGGAAACAAGGACGUCGAAUUCUGCAGUUUUAUAAGCUAUCUGCUAUAGCUCAAGAUGUCAUUCUGGGAUUCAAUAAACUAUCCAGAAAUAUUGGGAAGAAUGAGGGAGAAUAAUCCCGCCACUGAGCAAGAUACCCUGACGCUAGUUUUUGAAGAGUAUUUAAAAAUAAUGAAUUUUUCGGUCGAGGAUGGAAAUUACCUGUUAAAAGAUCGAUCCCUCCAUACUCCAUUCGCGUUUACUCUUCUCUUCGAUCCGGAGGACUAUUUCAAGAUAGAAUUUAUACGAAAUGAGCACGUCGAUCGGCCCCUGGUAUGGAAAAAAACUAAAGCAGAGCAUUCGUUCACGCAAGUGCCUCAGUUGUACCCGCAGUAUGGUGACUGGGAAACAUAUGUAGUUCUGAAAGAACAGUUUAAAAAGAUACACACCAGUAUCAAAAACCUUUGGAGGGACAUCGAAGUCGUGCCGAUGCAAAUAAAUUCAAUGGAAGCUCCGAACCUUGAAGUACUGUUAGAAGACUUUGGAGCAAUGGAAGAACUUCCAAACGUUGAUAUUAACCCUCAAGAUUGGAUUUAAUUAUCUGCGAUUUCACGUUAAAUUUUAUAAGGCUUCGUUUGUAUUCGA